rnacentral:rRNA from 1 species
CAGCAGCCACGGGAAUACGUAGGGUGCGAGCGUUAAUCGGAAUUACUGGGCGUAAAGCGUGCGCAAGCGGUGAUGUAAGACAGUUGUGAAAUCCCCGGGCUCAACCUGGGAACUGCAUCUGUGACUGCAUCGCUGGAGUGCGGCAGAGGGGGAUGGAAUUCCGCGUGUAGCAGUGAAAUGCGUAGAUAUGCGGAGGAACACCGAUGGCGAAGGCAGUCCCCUGGGCCUGCACUGACGCUCAUGCACGAAAGCGUGGGGAGCAAACAGGAUUAGAUACCCCGUAGUCCCUGUCUCUUAUACA